AUUGAACGCUGGCGGCAUGCCUUACACAUGCAAGUCGAACGGUAACGGGCCUUCGGGUGCCGACGAGUGGCGCACGGGUGAGUAAUACAUCGGAACGUGCCCGAUCGUGGGGGAUAACGAGGCGAAAGCUUUGCUAAUACCGCAUACGAUCUACGGAUGAAAGCAGGGGACCGCAAGGCCUUGCGCGGACGGAGCGGCCGAUGGCAGAUUAGGUAGUUGGUGGGAUAAAAGCUUACCAAGCCGACGAUCUGUAGCUGGUCUGAGAGGAUGAUCAGCCACACUGGGACUGAGACACGGCCCAGACUCCUACGGGAGGCAGCAGUGGGGAAUUUUGGACAAUGGGCGCAAGCCUGAUCCAGCCAUGCCGCGUGCAGGAUGAAGGCCUUCGGGUUGUAAACUGCUUUUGUACGGAACGAAAAGCCUUCUUUUAAUACAGGAGGGUCAUGACGGUACCGUAAGAAUAAGCACCGGCGAACUACGU
rnacentral:rRNA from 1 species